GCAGUGAUGGAGGGGUAUGAUCGACUGUUGGGACAGGCAACCUGAAAGUCCACCAAACCCACCCUGUCACACAGGAGAUUACCCUUUGACUUCAAGACCUGGUUCAGGAAAAUCUAAGGAACAGUGUCUUGUUUUCACACUUCCAGAGGGCUGCUUCUUGGAGCCAGUUAUGACAGAAGGAGAGUGUGCCAGGAAGAUGUUCUUGUUGGCAAGGUGUCCACCUAGGCAUUUUACAGACGGUCCACUGAGGUCCAGAGACGUGGGGCCCCUUGCUCCUGGUCACACGGCUGAGAAAUGAGGGGCAGGAAAUCCCGCCCGGCUGCGGCGGCUGCCGCGGCGGCAGGGGGAGAAGCUCCGAACGGACCGUCCCGGCAGCCACACAUCGAUCUCGUUCGGGUCUAAGGUCCGGCCAGGUCGUAACUCCAGCCACUCUUUCGCCACCUGGAGCGAUCGCCCCGCCCACCCCUCCAUUCCCUUAGCCACGCGGCCCGGAGGCCUGGCUCUUCCCGGCGGCCCCCGAGCCGCGGGCCGGCCGCCGCCAGGUGGAAAGAGACAGGUCAGCGGCGACUCGCCCCCGGGAGGCGGCGCCUGGCUGAGCCGAGCAGCCGGCGGCCGCGACCCCAGGCCUCCCUCCGC
ensembl:lncRNA